GUCAGUAUCUGGGCUCCAGUGUAUACUACGAACACAGGUGUUAUUCUCCAGAGAAAUCAGAGUUAUCUUCUCAUGGCAGCUUACUUAUGAGAAGCUGGUUUCUCAAAAAAAAACUUAUGGGAGCUGGUCUCAUACUAAAACUGUUACAAACUCCGUGCUACUGCACAGACUGCCUGUUCAAAUACAAUGCCAUCAACGGGAUCCCGCGGGGCGAAGAAAACAUGAGCCCUGGCCUGGAGGCUGAAGCACGGGACUUGGCUGAAUCUGAAUUAGCAUGGACCAACAAAUCAGGAGCGAACCGAGUGAAAGAAUUCUAGGAAAAGGGCAGGGUCUCUGAAGACAGUCCUAAGCUAUUCUGUAACUAGCUUAAAACGGUGUGCUCUGUAUGCUUGUAAAAGUAACAUUGAGUGCAGUUUUUGUGGAGGUUGAAAUGAGAGGAGCUGAACUAUGUUCCAGACUGCUGGACUAACCUUUGGUUUGUGCGAAGCUCUUUCUGCUUCCUCUGUUCCACAUCGAGCUUCCAGCACACUGAUUCUUGUUUCCACUUUUUGGGGUUUAUUUAGCACUCAUGAAUUCACUCACCAAACACAGAAAAUUAUGAGGUAAGUAAAAGAAUAAAGACAGAAAAUUAUACUCCCUCCGUCGCAAAAAACUUAUCUUAGAUUUGUUUGUCUAGAUACGGACAUAUCUAACAAAAGACGUGUCUAGAUGCAUCUGUAUUAUACAAAUCUGAAACAAGCUUUCAGGGCGGAGGUAAUAUUUAUUAGACAUAUCCUUUUUGUGAAUUGUAUUACUCUCUCCGUUCCUAAAUAUUUGUCUUUUUAGAGAUUUCAGCAAGUGACUACAUAUGGAGCAAAAUGAAUGAAUCUACACUCUAAAAUAUGUUUAUAUACAUCCGUAUGUGGUAGUCCAUUUGAAUCUUUAAAAAAACAAAUAUUUAGGAACGAAGAGAGUACUAUUCUAAUAAGGCGAAGUAUCUGGUGAAACCCAGAAUUUAGAAAACGGUGGGCCAUCGGAUCGACAAGGAACGAGUCAGAUGUAAUACUAAUAUAAUAAACCCCUAAAAAAGAAUAAUAAUAUACCCCCUCCGUCCCAUGUUACCUGUCGCUCCCUCUGAAAAAACAAGCCCUUCUAAGCGGACAAUGUAUUAUUUGAAAUGUAAAACCGUAUUUUUGCGGCACCUUCUGCUUUUUGGAAACACACAAGACAACCAAGCCGUCUCGGCUGCGGCUCCGGCUGCGAACCUCACGAGUUCAUAUCGGCGGCCAUAUCCCUCCAUCUCCCCCCUUCCUGGAAGCUGGAAACACAAGACAACCAACCCGAGCACCCAAUCUUCUUGGCCCCCUUCUUAAAAAAAGACAGACUGCUUUGCAUUCGUUGACCUGCAACUUCAAGCUCCGCCUUUCCAAUCCCUGCUCUUGCCCUCCGUCUCUUCACCUCAGCUCUUGCAGGUUGCAGCAGAGGCGACCAAUGGCGCAGGACGACCCGGUUGUCUCUGCACAGUGGCUGCAGCAGCACCUAGGGCAGCCCGACAUCAAGGUGAAAGAAUCUCUCAUCUGCCUCACGCUUUCCCUUUCGAUUCCGGAGGAUAUCUUACCUCCUCUUCCGCCAGCGUUUCAGAAGCGGUAACAACAACAGCAUGUUCUUGAUUUCUCAUCAUCCAGUGUGUUUAUCCCCAUCAUGUGGAGGGCACUUUGCUUUAGUGAUUGCUAUCAGAACUUCAGAAGCAACGACUUAAUUAGUAUACCCUCCAUUCACUAUUAUAAGAUGCUUUAACUUUUUUCUGAAUCGGAUGUAUAUAGACGCAUUUUAGUGUGUUUGUUCACUCGGUUCAGUCCAUAUUGAAAUAUCGGGGGGAAGCAUUUACCAACAUUAUUCUACUCCCUGUCAUGUUGUUUUCCUAUUAUUAUUGUUGUGCCCAAGAAAAUAUUAUAGGGCCACAGGAACCUGUGCUGCUUUUUUUUUACAUUUGACUGCUUGGUUCAGAUACUGGAUGCUUCCUGGUACAUGCCACACGAGAGCAGGGACGCAUGGCAAGAAUACCAGGUUUCUUUCUGGAUCAGCUUUGCUGUAAACUGUUCACCCCUUUUGUGCCAAUGUUUCUCCCGGCUAAGAUGUUUAGAUAUGCUCAGGUGGCUCAUAUUCCUGGCGCGCUGUACUUCGACAUCGAUGGAAUUUCUGAUCGGACGACUCAUGUGAGAAAUGCCUCCAUAUAUUAAUCCCUUUGUCAUUUGCGCCAUUGUUUGAAUCGGCGGUUUCUUGGAGCUUUGGCAGUUGGCCUGCUGCAAUGGUUUUCUGUGUUUAGCCUUUCACUGUAUGCCUAUGAAAAAUAGAUAUGUGGCUUACUUUUACUGGACGCAAUUCUUUUCAGUUGCCACACAUGCUGCCAUCGGAAGAGGCAUUUGCAGCAGCAGUUUCUGCACUUGGAAUCAGCAACCAUGAUAAGGUUAUUGUUUAUGAUGGGAAGGGGUUCUACAGCGUGCCUCGUGUUUGGUGGUAAGCAGCGCGAUGCUUGGGUUGGGUUCAACAGAAUGUCAAAAUCAACUUUCUUGCUAAUGCACAAAGAGCGAUAUAUAAGAUGUUCAAACAUGUUGAUAUAAUAUUUUCUUAUUUUUAUUUAUUGCACGUAAAGGUACCUUCUUACUCUUUUACAGUAUCUCACAUCUACAAACGUUGAUAGAGUUGGAGUACUUUAUAAACCCGGCAUACUAAUGAUGGGUCACUUCAAGUACUAAAGCUCUGGUCAUGAGAUAAAAUAGGAUGAGUUUUGCAUUCAAUGGGAAGAUACAGUGUCAUGGUUUCAGGUUAUAGGAAAACGGUAUUGUGCCUCAAAUUUAAAUGCUACAAUGUCAUGGUUUUAUCCAUUUUGAUGUGUUCGGAAAGCAAAAUGAAUCAGUCUGCAUACUCAAAAGAUUAACUGCAUGAACGAUUAAAUCCAGACACACACUUCAAAGUUUACCUGGCAAACAUUCAGGAUGUCAUUCUCUGCCUAAUUUAAGUAAUAUUUUCUACCUCUAUAUGCAAAAUUUGAUGAAUUUUAUGCAUACUGUGUCAACUAAAAGGAUGUUCAGAAUUCUUGGACAUGAUAAAGUUUGGGUCUUAGAUGGAGGUUUCCCUCAGUGGCAAGCUUCUGGAUUCAAUAUUGGAAGCAGCUGCCCUCAUGAUGCAGUUCUGAAAUCCAAAGCUGCUAAUAGUGCUGUUGAAACAACUUACAAUGGUGAACUGGUAAGAUAACUCUUAAGAUGGUAUUGCUGUCUUACUGCCAACUCCUUUUUCUUACUCAGUAAUCAUGGUUUCAUGAUUUGCAGGCAAAUGCUGCCACAUUUCAGACAGAGUUUCGACAUCAGCUAUUGUGGACACUAGAAAAGGUCAGCUCUCUAUCUUAACUGAAAACCUAAGUCACUUCAUUUUACCUGAAAACUUUCUUGCAUCCAUAUAGAUACCUGAAAACCUAAGAUCAUGAAUUGCUUCACAUCAGUAUUAGUUGGGAUUGGUCGUAUCUCAUGAUCUUUCUUUUAACUAUCCUGAAAAUAUUUUACCUUAUUUAAAAUUGAAAAUCAUAUGAAGAUGAUGUAACUCAGUGACACACCAGAUUCUUGAUUAUCCACAUGUAUGUUGAGCCGUUCUGUCUGUGUAACAGGUCAAACACAAUGUAGCUGCUAAGGCUCACCAAGUAGUUGAUGCCCGAGUAAAGGGCAGGUAACAUCUUUCUUUCUUUUUAGUUAUUUGCUAACUUAAGCUGUUUUCAGCUGUAAAAAUUUUGUGCCAUCUUGGCUUUCUCCAUCUAAGACAAAACAACACGUGUUUUGGUGCGUGUUUGAGAAAAAAAAUGUAGCUGCUCAGGCGCACCAACUAGUUGAUGCCCGAUCAAAGGGCGGGAAAAAUCUCUUAAGUUUCAAUAUAUGAUUAUUCCGGUUGGAAGAUCCGAUUAUCGAAGCUCUGCUCAUAGUUAGUGUAACAUUCUUUUAAGUAAUAAAGCACCCCUUUUGGAAAAAAGUUAGUGUAACAUAGAACUGUCUUGCAAUAACGAAGUUAAAAGAUUUCCUUAAAUAUGAAAAGGUUGAUAUUUGUGUUUCAUACAGAUAUUGUGAUUCAUCUCUGUUUUAUUGAAGGUUUUUGUCUUAUGCCUGAUGACAUUUUUUAUUCUUGUCGAUCUUCCGCCAAAGUUAUAUGUAGUUCCUUAUUGUUGCGAUGAAAACGGCUUCAAAUUUUCAUUCACAGAUUUGAUGGUCUGAUGCCAGAACCAAGGGAAGGAGUAAGAAGUGGGCAUAUACCUGGAACUGUAUGUGUUCCGUUCCCUGAGGUGGGUAUAGUGCAACCAUGCAAUAUAUCACUACUUGGAUAACCUCAUAACCACAAAUACAAAAGAAAUUGACACUGUUUGGUAUUCUCCCAGAUGUCUGAUGGUGCACAAACGCUCCUCCCCGCAGAUGAGCUAUCUAAAAAGUUUGAGCAAGCAGGUCUGCAUUCUGUUUCAUCUAACAGUUCUAGUCUGGAGUUUGCCCAUGGCCUUCCGCGAUGUAUACAAUACUAAAAGCAGAACAACAUUACAAUGCAACUAUGCAGAUCCUCUGACCUAAGAAGCAGAGUUUUAUUAGGGAUAUAAAAUGUGUAUCAAGUUCACCAAGCAAUAUCAAUAAUAGCACCUGGUUUGAUGUUUCUUCAGGCAUUUCCCUUGAUGGCCCGAUUGUCCUCACAUGUGCAUCUGGUGUAACUGCCUGCAUACUUGCCCUGGUCUGGAAAUCUAGCAUGCUCUUCUUGGCUAUAUCUUUGAGACAUUGACUCCACCUAGCAGUCUCUAACAAUAUCUCUUUACAGGCGCUCUAUAGAAUUGGGAAGCAUGACGUUCCGGUUUACGAUGGAUCUUGGACAGAAUGGGAAGCUCUGCCAGAUGAUGAUUACCCAAUAGUUACUUCCACUGGCUCUUAAAACGAUCAUUCUGAGGUGAUGAAUGCAGGUGUUACAUCCUGCGGGCAUUCAGCACAGAUUGUCAGCGCAAUGAUAUUUCUCUGUGGCAAGCUUUGCACCAACGUCAAUACAAAGGUUAUAGGAAAAUAAAAUACAGUACCUAUUGAUGUUAUAGGAAAGUGUCGAUAUUAAGUUUAUAUUGAUGUUGUACUUAACGUUACUAUUGAAGAAAUCGUGACUUGAAAACAACAUUAAGUUUAUAUUUUAUGCAGUAGUGCAGCCAAAUGAGUUGUGCACCAGCAAGUGCGGAGCAACUGAUCAAAAUUUCAACUUGUGCAAAUUUCUUUUGUAGCCCGAGGAAAUCAAAUCGAACAUUUCAAAAGGUCCACUCUGUGACCAUGAGGAUGAAACCAUCUCACAUUUGCUCACUGGCUGCAUUUAAAGGGUCGCUGAAGACAAUCCUAAGCUAUUCGUAACUACUUUGAAAACG
rnacentral:lncRNA from 1 species